AAAUGAGUCCCUCACUCACUCACUGACCCUUCCUUCUUCCUUCAUUUCGGAUAAAAAAAUACCCACAAAUCCUUUCUUCUUCCUUUUUCUCAGUAGAAGAAACCCUCAGAUGGUUUUGUUUCCCCAUCUCACACCCUUACUUCUUUCUUCUUCCUUCCCUCCUUAUAGCCACAUGUUCUUCCUUUGCCACGUCUUCAUUCAGACCGCAUCAUCAGCCACGUUCAUUUUCUUCUCGAGAGCUCACCAUCAACGAUGGUACAGAGCCCCAAAGCUG
rnacentral:sRNA from 1 species